CCUACGGGGGGCAGCAGUGGGGAAUAAUGCACAAUGGGGGAAACCCUGAUGCAGCAACGCCGCGUGGGUGAAGGAGCGUUUCGGCGCGUAAAGCCCUGUCAGCGGGGAAGAAGAAAGACGGUACCCGACCAAGAAGCCCCGGCUAACUACGGGCAAGCAGCGGCGGGAAUACGUAGGGGGCGAGCGUUAUCCGGAAUUACGGGGUGGAAAGGGAGGGUAGACGGGGGGGUAAGCCUGAAGUGGAAGCCCGCGGCCCAACAGAGGAACUGCUUUGGGAAGUGUUUUGCUGGAGUAUGGGAGGGGUAAGCGGAAUUGCUGGUGUAGCGGUGAAAUGCGUAGAUAUCAGGAGGAACACCGGUGGCGAAGGCGGCUUACUGGACCAUAACUGACGUUGAGGCUCGAAAGCGUGGGGAGCGAACAGGAUUAGAUACCCGUGUAGUC
rnacentral:rRNA from 1 species